CUUCUUCUUCUUCUUCAACUAAUUACGCUACUAACGCCACCGAAAUUCAAAGGGUCUUCAACUACUUUGACGAGAAUGGAGAUGGGAAGAUAUCUCCGCAUGAGUUGCAGAGCUGCGUGAGGACGUUGGGAGGGGACCUUUCUACUGAGGACGCGGAGUUUGCCGUCGGCUCAUCUGAUACGGACGGAGAUGGGUUGUUAGGAUUCGAGGAUUUCCAAAGGCUGAUGGAGAGUUGCACCUCCGAGGAGGGUAAGAAGGAAGAGCUUAAGCAGGCAUUUGGGAUGUACGAAACGGAGCCUGGCUCUGGAAUCAUUAACCCUAACAGCUUGAAGAGAAUGCUGAGUCGACUGGGCGAGUCAAGGUCUCUUGAUGAUUGCAAGGCCAUGAUUCGUACUUUUGACCUGAACGGAGAUGGCGUCCUUAGCUUCCACGAGUU
rnacentral:misc_RNA from 1 species